UACAGAGGUGGCAAGCGUUGUUCGGAAUUACUGGGCGUAAAGCGCACGUAGUCGGCUUUGCAAGUCGGGUGUGAAAUCCCCGGGCUCAACCUGGGAACUGCAUCCGAGACUGCAUUGCUAGAGUAUGGGAGAGGGAAGCGGAAUUUCUGGUGUAGCAGUGAAAUGCGUAGAUAUCAGAAGGAACAUCAGUGGCGAAGGCGGCUUCCUGGACCAAUACUGACGAUCAGGUGCGAAAGCGUGGGGAGCAAACAGG
rnacentral:rRNA from 1 species